rnacentral:rRNA from 1 species
UACGGAGGGGGCUAGCGUUGUUCGGAAUUACUGGGCGUAAAGGGUUUGUAGGUGGCUUGCUCAGUCAGACGUGAAAUCCCUCAGCUUAACUGGGGAACUGCGUCUGAUACUAGCGAGCUUGAGUGCAGGAGAGGAACGCGGAAUUCCAGGUGUAGCGGUGAAAUGCGUAGAUAUCUGGAGGAACACCGGUGGCGAAGGCGGCGUUCUGGACUGCAACUGACACUGAAAAACGAAAGCCAGGGGAGCAAACGGG